AGUGAACGCUGGCGGUAGGCCUAACACAUGCAAGUCGAACGGCAGCACAGUAAGAGCUUGCUCUUACGGGUGGCGAGUGGCGGACGGGUGAGGAAUACAUCGGAAUCUACUUUUUCGUGGGGGAUAACGUAGGGAAACUUACGCUAAUACCGCAUACGACCUACGGGUGAAAGCAGGGGAUCUUCGGACCUUGCGCGAUUGAAUGAGCCGAUGUUGGAUUAGCUAGUUGGCGGGGUAAAGGCCCACCAAGGCGACGAUCCGUAGCUGGUCUGAGAGGAUGAUCAGCCACACUGGAGCUGAGACACGGUCAAGACGCCUACGGGAGGCAGCAGUGGGGAAUAUUGGACAAUGGGCGCAAGCCUGAUCCAGCCAUACCGCGUGGGUGAAGAAGGCCUUCGGGUUGUAAAGCCCUUUUGUUGGGAAAGAAAAGCAGCAGGUUAAUACCCCGCUGUUCUGACGGUACCCAAAGAAUAAGCACCGGCUAACUUCGUG
rnacentral:rRNA from 1 species